GAUGAACGCUGGCGGCGUGCUUAACACAUGCAAGUCGAGCGAAGCACUUUGGAAAGAUUCUUCGGAUGAUUUCCUUUGUGACUGAGCGGCGGACGGGUGAGUAACGCGUGGGUAACCUGCCUCAUACAGGGGGAUAACAGUUAGAAAUGACUGCUAAUACCGCAUAAGACCACGGUACCGCAUGGUACAGUGGUAAAAACUCCGGUGGUAUGAGAUGGAACCGCGUCUGAUUAGGUAGUUGGUGGGGUAACGGCCUACCAAGCCGACGAUCAGUAGCCGACCUGAGAGGGUGACCGGCCACAUUGGGACUGAGACACGGCCCAGACUCCUACGGGAGGCAGCAGUGGGGAAUAUUGCACAAUGGAGGAAACUCUGAUGCAGCGACGCCGCGUGAAGGAUGAAGUAUUUCGGUAUGUAAACUUCUAUCAGCAGGGAAGAAAAUGACGGUACCUGACUAAGAAGCCCCGGCUAACUACGUG
rnacentral:rRNA from 1 species